UUCACUGAUUUUAAUAUCGAGGUGAGCGCCGUUGUGAGUCUAGGAAGAGGCUGCGCGAGCACAAGUUUUAUUUAAGGAAUAGAUGUAUAAUUUCAAGAACUCAAAGAAGCAGAUCCGCCAAUAUUUAAUUGGCAGCAGUCAUACUGUCCAGGUUUAUACCUUAAGAGCCCCCCCUCUCUCUGUCGCGCCUGCGCAUACAUGAUGCUGGAACGAGUUUGAUCAAAAUGUUUGUUAUUGCAGAAAAAGAACAGGGGGGUAUUCCAGAGAGCAGGUUCUGCUAGCUCCCACGAAAAUGUGUACUUUGACUAACACGUCUCUAAAAAGGCCAGAAGGGCAGAUGUGAUCAUCUGAAACCACUGAAGACCCUGCAGUUGUCUUUGUGAGCAACUUUCCAAAAGAAUCUUCAGUCCACCUGACGACCUGCUCCUGGACUGAUGGGACUUUAAGUAAAGUGGGAUCUGAAACCUUUCAAGAACCCUAGUGACCCCUCACCCAUAAAAAACAGGACACCUCCAAACCUCAAAGACAACCUGCUGUCUCCACACCCCUUCCUGUCCCGUGGUCGAGUCAGAUCAAUGCACUCAUUGGUGGAAAAUCGUUUCCAUGAAUCUGUUUCUGUUGGAAACCACACGUGUGAAUCUGCAGGCUGAGAAACCCGAGCAGGUGUUGGGAAGCGUCUCUUUAAUCUGCCUGAUCAGAGUUGACUGUAAAUGUGCCGCAGUCUGCGAGGAAACGCACCCCCAGUGCAAACAAACAGGUCACACUUAGAAGACCGGGCCAGGUCACAGGGGGAUUAAACGAACGCUUGCUCUAGAUUUUAUUUUUUAAAUAAAUCAGCAUUCAAAUGCCA